AUAGCGUAUAUUCAAGUUGUUGCAGUUAAAAAGCUCGUAGUUGGAUUUCUGGUACGGUGCGCCUGACCCACUGUCGAAAGGCGUGUGAAGUGUCGGAGUGCGUCUGCCAUCCUUCUAGGAAUCUUGUCGCACUUCACUGUGUGGCAAGUGAACUAGAUCUUUUACUUUGAAAAAAUUAGAGUGUUUAAAGCAGGCUAGCGCCUUGAAUACAUUAGCAUGGAAUAAUAAUUUAGGACUUUGUUCCUAUUUUGUUGGUUUUAAGGAAUAAAGUAAUGAUUGAUAGGGAUAGUUGGGGGUGCUAGUAUUAAUCGGCCAGAGGUGAAAUUCUUGGAUUCGAUUAAGACUAACUUAUG
rnacentral:rRNA from 1 species